AGAAAGACGCGGAGGGCAGGUCCUCCAGAGCAAAAGCCCCUCCCCGCCUCCCCAGACUUUUCCUGCAAAAAAAGGGGGCGCUUCUGUCUCUCCCUGCCAAUGCUGCCCCGGCGGCGCCUGCUGGGAUCCGAGACAGGAUCUGUUUGCAGAAAUGGGUCUGGAUUCCUUUAAGACUGAAAGGACUCUGUUGGACACCUUAGAGAAGCCACUGGGUGACCAGAUGAUGCCAGCAAGACCUCCUCUUCCAUCUAUUCCUGGUGGUGAAGGAGAAGCAACGGCUGUGGAAGCAGCUCAGGGUCCAGUGUGCUUUGAAAAUGUCGCUGUUCAUUUCACAGA